GUUUCUGCGGCGGCUGGAGAGGUGGUCGGAGAAGUAGGAACCUCCUGCCGGGCUCGUGGCGGCUUCUGUCCGCUCCGCGGAGGGAAGCGCCUUCCCCACAGGACAUCAAUGCAAGCUUGAAUAAGAAAAACAAAUUCUUCCUCCUAAGCCAUGGCAUAUCAGUUAUACAGAAAUACUACUUUGGGAAACAGUCUUCAGGAGAGCCUAGAUGAGCUCAUACAGUCUCAACAGAUCACCCCCCAACUUGCCCUUCAAGUUCUACUUCAGUUUGAUAAGGCUAUAAAUGCAGCACUGGCUCAGAGGGUCAGGAACAGAGUCAAUUUCAGGGUAAGGAUAUUUUCCUGAAUCUAGAAGCCUGUACCAAUGGUUGUUAAAACACUGAUUUUUUUUUAGGACCCCUACAUAUUUAUUAAUCAUAAGAGGAAGAGGUGGCUUAGUCAAUUUUUGGAACUUGUUUUAUAGUAACUAAAUUAUACUUUUCAAUCAACUAUAAACUAAGUUGAUCCACUUAAUGUGAGAUACAGAGAUGUUUUUAGAUUUUUAUUUCAUUGUUUCACAAAUCAGCCUUUGUAUGUUUGGCUACCUUCCCUGAAGAGUUACUGAGAUUCCAAACACCUGAAAUAUUAUCUGCAGGAUUAAAGGUAAGUGGCGGAGUAAUCCCCAAGGUUCUGUUAUGGUUUUCAAAGUCUGGCCUUUCCCCGUUCCAGGGAAGUAGAGUUAUUUCUAGAAACUUCAUGUUGCCUCCCUCCGACUCUUAGGUAACUUGGCUGAUAAAAACCUGAUCUCUAAUGGUAGAUAACAGUCUAUUCUGGUAGCUUGGUCUCACUUCAGUCACUUAUACUUUGAACAGUAGUCAUCCAAAGCUGAAUAAAAUUAUCUCUCUCAAUUUCCUGAUAACUUCAGAUUAAGUGCCCAUUGAAAGAGUCAUGGUGCAACAGAAAUAAUUUUACCACAUUAUGGUAUUGAUGGAGUCAUAUAAUAUAUGAUGAUGUUUGCUUAUUAUUUAUCUAACUUUAUGUUUAUAUUGUAUUAUAAGGCAUAACCUGUAGAAAUAUAGUCAAAAGAAGGUUAAAAUAUGGUUACAACCAAAAUUUGAUCAUUAGUUAACAUCUGCCUACUUCAUUUGGUACUUAAACAUUCAGUAAACAAUUUGAGUGUCUGUUAACAUACCAGGCAUGCUCUAGAUACACAGAGAUGAAAAGAUAACAUACCAGGCAUGUUCUAGAUACUCAGAGAUGAACAAGAUAGACAAAGCCCCAUUUGACUUAAAUUUUAGUGAAGGAUAAAAUCUCCAUGUAUUUUAUAUUAAUAUAAAUAAGUCUCAUAUAUCAGUUUCAUGUGCC
rnacentral:lncRNA from 10 species